rnacentral:ncRNA from 1 species
GCGACGGUGCCCUGUUCCAGGGCUUGAAAGGGAACGCGGUGCGGAUGUCGCAGGAUGUCCAAGGCCGCGACUGUCCCCGCAACUGUAGGCGGUGAGUCGACCGUUCAAGGCCACUGGAGCCCAUUCGGGCUUCGGGAAGGCGACGGGACGACAUCGACCCGCGAGUCAGGAGACCUGCCGUCGCCC